GGCAAGCACCUAAAUAUUAAGGGUUGACCUUGAUCAGGGCCUUGGAUGCCGACCUGCAGGCCGCACGAGGCUUACCCCCUCCACCCUUGCAGCACCCCCAUGGAGGGAGCCGUGCUACUUCUGCCAUUUUAGAGAUCCCUUGUCCAAGGCCGCCCAGCUCCCACCCAAGCCCUGAACUCAGGCAGCGGGAUUCCAAGGCGUCUUCAGAACUCACCACUACCGUGUCCCAUCAGAGGAAAAUGACUUUAAGAGGCCAUAGAGUUCUUUUCUUCAUGGAGCGACUCAAAGGACUAAUGUUGCAGGGAACUCACUUCUGGAAACACCGUUCUAGCUCAUUGAUGCUCGGCUUGUAGGCGAGGAAAUGAAGACCCAGGGAGAUACUCAAAUCCUCUAGCCGUGUGUUUUCCUCCUAUUGAUGCAGCUAGUGGACCCGGGGACUCAGACACUCGUCAAAAGAAAGACCAGCUCAUGACUGACCCCACCGUCAAGGUCAUACUGCAAUGAAUUUCUCUUUUCCAACCAAAAGCACUGGGAGGCUAAGUUCAGAAAGAAUCCCUUUUCCUUAAGAAUUCCCCUGAAGUCCCCCUUCCUCAUGGGCUCCCCAACAAUGGUAGUAUUGAGGGCCAAAGUUGACAUCCUGUGUCUCCUUUUCCCCCGAGGAACCUUUGGAAUGGGGGCAGGUUCCAUCUACUGAGGCUGAUGUGAUGUGGAAUCAGGAUCAGGUUCAUGUCCACAAGCUCGCGUGGCAAGCACUGCUAUGAUGCCCGUCUGCAGAUGAGGAAACUGAGACACGAGCAUCAAAUAAGUUGCACGAGGCCACAGAACUACCCCGUCUCAGAACGCGCUCUGUAAUGACUGGAAAGACAGAAAAAACCAACUCUUCCUUUUCAAAAGACAGCACAGGCUCUGAUGCUGUUGAUCAGAAACAAAGCCACGAGCAUGGAGAAUUAUUGUGUGGAGCCCUCACCUGCCCCCGGCUCUGAUGUUGGCACAGGAUUGGGAGAGCACAUUACCAAUUAGAAGAAGUUCAUUUAGCUGAGAAGGCCGAGGGAAGAGCUAUUAGUGGGCUAAAAGUCAGAGAUGGAUCUCAGGCAUAAAAGCUACAGAAAAAUGGCACUUUGGAUUGUGGAUCACCUUCCUGCUGUCUUCAUUAGAGAAAGUCCUUAACCAUGUAUGGGGUGUCUGAUAAAAGACAACAUUUGAGCGGCAUUUUACAGGCUGCAAAUGCUUUCACAUACAGGGUCUCGAUUAUAACCCAUCACGACCUCUACAGGUGAGGUUGGCUAAUGGCCCACAGAUCUAGCAAGCAACCAAACCCAAGUUGCAUGCCCAAGGCAUUGGAAGUAUUUCUUUUUCAUAAAUCUGGCUCUGGGAAAGAAGGUUCUCCCAAGUGGAAAUUUGUUGGAGAAAAUAUUGUAUAG